rnacentral:rRNA from 1 species
CGGACGGGUGAGUAACGCGUGGAAAACCUGCCGUAUACUGGGGGAUAACACUUAGAAAUAGGUGCUAAUACCGCAUAAGCGCACAGCCUCGCAUGAAGCGGUGUGAAAAACUCUGGUGGUAUACGAUGGUUCCGCGUCUGAUUAGCUAGUUGGUGGGGUAAUGGCCUACCAAGGCAACGAUCAGUAGCCGGCCUGAGAGGGUGAACGGCCACAUUGGGACUGAGACACGGCCCAAACUCCUACGGGAGGCAGCAG